UCAAUUGAAAGGUGUUUUUUGAACCUAUAAAUUAGUAAUUACUACAAACAGUACUUUGCCCAUCAUUUUAUAAGCCUUAAUAUACAAUAAUAAAUAAUAUUGUUUAAAAUGUUUGUUUCUUAGGAUUUUCGGCUAGUUAGCGACGAUCCAAUGUCGAGUGCAAAAUGAAGAAUUACAUUAAAAAUAUUUUCAACAAUUGCGUAAACUCCGUACUGCCUAGAAAUAUUAUUAAACACUCCGUUAAGUGUGAAAAACAAGUAUUGUACGUAAACGAUGGCAAAUUUUCACUACCCGAAAAAGUGUAUAUGAUCGGAUUUGGAAAAGCCGUAAUGCAAAUGGCUUUGGAGAUUGAAAAAAUACUUGAUGGCCGUUUGCACAAAGCUAUAUUAAGCGUUCCAUUUGGUACGCAAUGUAAUAUUGAUGAUUCCAUAAUCAAUAUUUUAGAAGGAGCUAGAAAUAAUAUACCUGAUCAAUACGCUGUAGACAACACCAAAUGUAUAGUAGAUAUGAUUGGAAAUUUGAACAGUAAUGAUGUUUUAAUAGUCUUGAUAUCGGGCGGAGGCUCUGCGUUGUUGUGUUCGCCGACCGUGUCGUUAACUGAUAAAAUCUACACUAUUAAUUUGCUGUCGUCUAACGGUGCUUCAAUAAAACAAUUAAACGCUGUAAGGAAAGCGUUAUCCGAUGUUAAAGGAGGCAAGUUAAUUGGGAUAGUUAAUAAAGCUACCGUUAUUGCAUUAAUCUUAUCAGAUAUCAUUGGCGACCCUUUGAACGCGAUUGCAAGUGGGCCGACAGUUCCCAAUGAUGAUCCAACCAAACUGCCGUUGGAAAUAGUAAACAAAUUAAAUUUAAUAGAUAAAAUUCCAAAAACUGUUUUGAGUGCUUUGGAGAAAAAUCAAUCCAUCAGCGACAUUGAUUUUACCAAAGUACAUAAUUUUAUAAUAGGUAAUAACAAUGUUGCCUUAAAAACUGGCUUAAACUGUUCACAACCCGAUUAUAUUUCUGUUCUUCUCUCGAAUUCAAUUCAAGGCAACGUAUCGCAAGUGUCUAAUUUUUAUUCAACCCUUAUAAAAUUUGUUUGUAAAACAUACUUUAUGAAGGAAACCGAUGAAAAACUGAAGCAAGACCUUAUAUCAAUAAUAAAUGUUUUGUGUUUAAAAAUAAAUGUAGACAAUUUGACGAGUAAAGUCAUCCAAGCUACGCUGAAAAAAAGUGGUUUGUGUUUAUUAAGCGGCGGUGAACCUACUGUAAUUGUAAAGGGAAUUGGUGCUGGAGGAAGAAAUCAAGAAUUAGCUUUGAGAGUAGCUAUUGAUUUGGAUAAAAGUAGUACUGAAGAGUUCAAAAUCAUGUUCUUUAGCGGAGGGACGGAUGGCAUUGAUGGACCGACCGAUGCUUGUGGUGCGUUUGGCUAUCCAGAACUCGUGAACAAUGCAAAAUCUGAAUGUUUAAAUCCUUUGCCGUUUGUCGAAAACAAUGACAGCUAUGGUUUCUAUUCCAAGUACAAUCAAGGCGAAGACCUUUUUCGAAUUGGCCAUACCGGUACCAAUGUCAUGGAUUUACAUAUUUUGAUUAUUGAACCGCGAAAUAACCGUAUUCUAUAAAAAAAUUAAUGGGUUGAAAAGCGAACUGUGUUUUAGUAUAGUUUAAUUUAAGUAAUACAUAUUUUAUAUCUUUAGUUGACAAAUGUUUGAAAUUGAAUAACUAAAAAAAAGCUGUGUAACUUGGGUUGUAUUUUUAGUACAAGUUUUAUUAUUUUACAUAAUGGCUAAAUUAAACAAGUUUAUAAUAGCAAUUACUUUUACGAAAAUUGAAAAAUUUUAAUCGUUCAGAAUGGAUAUUUACCUAUGAAUAAAAUAAAAAUUAAUUUUGUUAUCAUUCAACAUUUCAAUAUUAUGAUAAGUGAUAAAAUGUGAUAACAGCAUGUGUCCUCUCUUAUCAGUAUCCAUGCGGUGUGUUUAAGCCUUAAUUACAACUUUGCCGGAAAAAUGAAAUAAUUUUUAUCGCAAGUAUACUUCUUAAUUUGAUUGACAACUCGUUUUAUCUUGUCUAUGGUUAUUGUUUAAAUAUAUAAUACAUCAAUAAGUUUUUAUAUUCGUACUGCUGUUUUUGUGUAAAGUCCUUUAGUGAAAAUAAUGCUCAGUGCCCUUAAAAAAUCAGGAUGUGAAGUAAAUCCAUCUAGACACAUAGCGUGUGAACUCUGUGACACGACUGUUCAUGGUGGUUAUGAUCCA